rnacentral:rRNA from 1 species
UAAUACUCGAGCCCCGAGUGGUAUCCAUGAUUAGUGGGUCUAAAGCGUCCGUAGCCGGUUCAGUAAGUCCUCAGUGAAAUUCUUUGGCAAACUGAAGAGCUUGCUGGGGAUACUACCGAACUUGGGACCGAGAGAGGGUAGACGAACUCCCGGGGAAGGGGUAAAAUCCUAUAAUCCUGGGGGGACGACCUGUGGCGAAGGCUUCUACCUAGAGCGGGUUCGACGGUGAGGGACGAAACCUAGGGGAGCGAUCGGGAUUAGAUAUUAUAUCAGGAAGAAGGAAUUGAUGCAAAACACAAAAUGCAAAAAUUUCUUUAUUAAAACCUGAAAUAACUAAAAACCCCGGUAGUCCUAGGCGUAAACGAUGCCCGUUUG